GACGUAGGGUGCGAGCGUUGUCCGGAUUUAUUGGGCGUAAAGAGCGUGUAGGCGGCCAUACAGGUCCGUUGUGAAAACUGGAGGCUUAACCUCCAGACGUCGAUGGAAACCGUAUGGCUAGAGUCCGGAAGAGGAGAGUGGAAUUCCUGGUGUAGCGGUGAAAUGCGCAGAUAUCAGGAAGAACACCCGUGGCGAAGGCGGCUCUCUGGGACGGUACUGACGCUGAGACGCGAAAGCGUGGGGAGCGAACAGG
rnacentral:rRNA from 1 species